rnacentral:rRNA from 1 species
AGCGAACGCUGGCGGCAGGCCUAACACAUGCAAGUCGAACGAACCUUUCGGGGUUAGUGGCGGACGGGGGAGUAACAGGGGGGAACGGGCCUUUAGGUUCGAAAUAACUAAGGGAAACUUGUGCUAAUACCGAAGGGGCCCUCCGGGGGAAAGAUUAAUCGCCUUUAGAGCGGCCCGCGUCUGAUUAGCUAGUUGGUUGAGGUAAUGGCUCACCAAGGCGACGAUCAGUAGCUGGUCUGAGAGGAUGAUCAGCCACAUUGGGACUGAGACACGGCCCAAACUCCUACGGGAGGCAGCAGUGGGGAAUCUUGCGCAAUGGGCGAAAGCCUGACGCAGCCAUGCCGCGUGAAUGAUGAAGGUCUUAGGAUUGUAAAAUUCUUUCACCGGGGACGAUAAUGACGGUACCCGGAGAAGAAGCCCCGGCUAACUUCGUG